rnacentral:rRNA from 1 species
UACGUAGGUGACAAGCGUUGUCCGGAUUUACUGGGCGUAAAGAGCGCGCAGGCGGUCGUAUAAGUCGAGUGUGAAAGCCCCCGGCUCAACUGGGGAGGGUCACUCGAUACUGUUCGACUCGAAGGCAGGAGAGGGAAGCGGAAUUCCCGGUGUAGUGGUGAAAUGCGUAGAUAUCGGGAGGAACACCAGUGGCGAAGGCGGCUUCCUGGCCUGUUCUUGACGCUGAGGCGCGAAAGCUAGGGGAGCAAACGGG